rnacentral:tRNA from 1 species
GUCUUAAUAGUUUAUACAAAAUAUUAACAUGUGGGGUUGAAGAAGAUAUAUUCUUAGGACA